rnacentral:sRNA from 1 species
CAAUAGCCCCGAUUGCAGUGGAAAUCCUUUUUCUUUGAAAAAGAUUGUAACGGAAAGCGGAAUCAAGC